UACGGGGGGGGCAAGCGUUGUUCGGAAUUACUGGGCGUAAAGGGCGCGUAGGCGGUUCGCUAAGUUGAAUGUGAAAACUCUGGGCUUAACCCAGAGCCUGCAUUCAAUACUGGCGGGCUAGAGUUCUGGAGGGGAUAGCGGAAUUCCUGGUGUAGCGGUGAAAUGCGUAGAUAUCAGGAGGAACACCGGUGGCGAAGGCGGGUCUCUGGGCCGUAACUGACGCUGAGGAGCGAAAGCAUGGGUAGCGAACAGG
rnacentral:rRNA from 1 species